rnacentral:rRNA from 1 species
AUUGAACGCUGGCGGCAUGCCUUACACAUGCAAGUCGAACGGCAGCACGGGUGCUUGCACCUGGUGGCGAGUGGCGAACGGGUGAGUAAUACAUCGGAACAUGUCCUGUAGUGGGGGAUAGCCCGGCGAAAGCCGGAUUAAUACCGCAUACGAUCUACGGAUGAAAGCGGGGGACCUUCGGGCCUCGCGCUAUAGGGUUGGCCGAUGGCUGAUUAGCUAGUGGGUGGGGUAAAGGCCUACCAAGGCGACGAUCAGUAGCUGGUCUGAGAGGACGACAAGCCACACUAGGACUGAGACACGGCCCAGACUCCUACGGGAGGCAGCAGUGGGGAAUUUUGGACAAUGGGCGAAAGCCUGCUCCAGCAAUGCCGCGUGUGUGAAGAAGGCCUUCGGGUUGUAAAGCACUUUUGUCCGGAAAGAAAUCCUUGGCCCUAAUACGGUCGGGGGAUGACGGUACCGGAAGAAUAAGCACCGGCUAACUACGUG